UCCAAUAAAUGAUGCGCAGCUCCUGGCA
rnacentral:sRNA from 1 species